UGAUCACCAUCAUUGCUUAUACAUUUGUAUAAUGCUUUACUUUUAUUUCUUACAAAGCACCAUCAUAUACAUUAUUGGCAAUGGUCUUCCUCCUAUUAAAAGAAAUUAAAUUAAAGCACAUAAUAAUUUGUGCUUGUCCAGCAGAAUUGGGAGGCAGGAGAGUGGCAUUCCCCACAUCAGCUCUCUAUGAGUCCAGCAAGUCUAUAAAACAGGGGAUGAAAAUAUCUUCUCCCUUUGGCAUGGCAGAGCGCUUCGCUAGGGAAGUUCGUGAGAAAUACAGAUAGGUUUAGUGACGCAUCUUUGCUGCAUCCCGCUUCCCCUUUCUCAGACUCCCCUCAAACUCCCCGAGGCAGUCUCUGGCCAUGUCAUCAGAGGUUUGAGAAGGGGGAGAGAAUCCUCGCUGGGGCAUUGCUCUUAGGCCUGGACUUCGCAGAAUUCCUCAAACCUUCCUUAAAGAUCUGAUCCCUCAUUACUCGACUUUCAGCGCAAAUACUAGAAUCUGACAUUCCUAGAUAUUUUGAGGGUUUUGAGUUGGAUAUUUUUCUCACUCAAUUGGGUAAAAUGUGAAGGUCAUUUUUAAAUAGAGGAUCUUUGAGCUUUCAGCUUUUAUCUUUCAUUAAAGAUUUGGAGCAACAUUUUAAAUUUCCCUGUCUAAGAACUCUCUGCCUGUAGCUUCUAUGCCUCGUGACCGAGCUGGAGGUCUUUUCCACGCCUCUGUGGUUUUGGUAAUGUGCUCGCUCUCCAUCUACUGACUAUUUUGUUUCCCACGGCUGUUGGCGUCAGGCUUAGACCUCUUCAAAAACCACUGUGUUGUCUGCACAGAUCCUCCUGUUUUGGGUGAUAUCUGUGUUAGCGAACGCAGUCUUGCUUGUGCUGUUUUCCAAGAAGUGGACUUGGGUUAAUUCCAGACCGGAGUGCUCAUCAGCUGUUCCAUCUUGAACACCAGUCAUAACUUCAGUUUUCAUAUCUGUCAUAGGAAAAUGCUCCUUCCUCACAGCCUCAUUGUGAAGACUGAGAUAUACGUGAUUAAAUGAGAUAUCAUUUGUCUCGACCAGUGCCUGUUCCAUUAUAAUUGUUCUAUUUUAAUUCAAGCCUUUGACCCAGGCACACCUGGAGGCAGUCAUGAGAGUAAAAGGCUACCAAACGUUUGCUAUGUGGCUGUUACCAUCCUCAGUGCCUUAUCAACAAGCUAACAAGUUUCCAGGUGAUGACGAUGCUCCCUGACCAGGGACCACACUGAAGAACCACUAUUUUAGGCCCAAAUUCUCUUGCCCUGGCAGCCUCAUGAAGUAGAGGAUUAUCCCUGAGCCAACAUCCAUGGCCAAUCUCCGUCUUCUUUUGCUGAGGAAGAUUGGCCCUGAGCUAACAUCUGUGCCCAUCUUCCUCUAUUUGUAUGUGGGACGCAUCACAGCAUGGUUUGAUAAUGGAGCUUAAGUCCGCACCAUGGAUCCGAACUGGCCAACCCUGGGCAGCAGAAACGGAGCACGUGUACUAACCACUUGGCCACCAGGUUGACCCCCUCAAUCAAAGGAAAGAAAGGAAGAAGAGACUGGCCUCUGGAAGAAAGGAAGACCAAUGAAACGUGCAAAACUAGAGAUAAAUGCCAAGAUCACGUCUCCUCCAAAGAGCAAACACCGAGAUGAUGGAGAAAUUAGACUGCUUAAGGAGUUCCUGUCCCACCCGUCAGCAGCAACCUUAUGAAACAGGCAGUGCAAGUAAUAUUGCUAUGGAUGAUGAAACCAAGGAUGAACAAGACAGAGCAAGAAGAUAACCUUCUGCAAGCCAAGAAGGGAGCUCUCCCCAGAGCCCAACCGUGUUAGAGCACUAAUCUCAGACUUCCAGCCUCCAGAAUUGGGGAAAAAUCAGGAGCUGACCUUGGACUCACGAGAUUAACCCUGAGCUAACAUCUGCUGCUAAUCCUCCUUUUUUUGCUGAUGAAUACUGGCCCUGAGCUAACAUCUGUGCCCAUCUUCAUCUACUUUAUAUGUGGGAUGCCUACCACAGCAUGGCUUGACAAGUGGUGCAUAGGUCUGCACCUGGGAUCCGAACCAGUGAACCCCGGGCCAACGAAGCGGAACACGUGAACUUAACCACUGCACCACUGGGCCAGCCCCGAUUUUAUGCUUCUUAAUGAACAAGUUAAUCGUUUAUCUAAAUGCCAAAAAUGCAGUUGAAAUGAUUUUCCAUCCUUUUAUGCAUGUCUUCCCAACUCCUCCCAAGAUAUUAUGUAGAUAAAACCCCAAG
rnacentral:lncRNA from 1 species